CGUAGGGGCAAGCGUUGUCCGGAAUUAUUGGGCGUAAAGCGCGCGCAGGCGGUUGGGUAAGUCCGAUGUAUAACCUUGUGGCUCAACCAUAAGUGGCAUUGGAAACUGCCGGACUUGAGUGCAGGAGAGGAAAGCGGAAUUCCACGUGUAGCGGUGAAAUGCGUAGAGAUGUGGAGGAACACCAGUGGCGAAGGCGGCUUUCUGGCCUGUAACUGACGCUGAGGCGCGAAAGCGUGGGGAGCAAACAGGAUU
rnacentral:rRNA from 1 species